rnacentral:rRNA from 1 species
GAGCGAAGUCUUCGGACUUAGCGGCGGACGGGUGAGUAACGCGUGGGAACAUACCCUUUGGUACGGAAUAGCCAUUGGAAACGAUGAGUAAUACCGUAUGUGCCCUUCGGGGGAAAGAUUUAUCGCCAAAGGAUUGGCCCGCGUUGGAUUAGGUAGUUGGUGGGGUAAUGGCCUACCAAGUCUACGAUCUAUAGCUGGUUUGAGAGGAUGAUCAGCAACACUGGGACUGAGACACGGCCCAGACUCC